rnacentral:rRNA from 1 species
CUUAUGCCGGCGACCGGCGGACGGGUGCGUAACGCGUAUGUAACCUACCUUUGACAGGGGGAUAACAUCGAGAAAUUGGUACUAAUACCCCAUAACAUCACCGGAGGCAUCUUCGGUGGUUGAAAACUCAGGUGGUCAGAGAUGGACAUGCGUUGUAUUAGCUAGUUGGUGAGGUAACGGCUCACCAGGGCGACGAUACAUAGGGGGACUGAGAGGUCAACCCCCCACAUUGGUACUGAGACACGGACCAAACUCCUACGGAAGGCAGCAG